ensembl:lncRNA
AGAAGGAGACAUGUAAGGUUAUCAUUCCUACAGAUCUGAUUUGGCAUCUCCGGUAGGCUGUCCAUGCCAUCUGGAGAAGAGGCUUUCUGCAGAGUGAAUGAAACAGCUGCAAGAGUGUUUUUUUUUAGGGAGGGAAGUGAAAAAUGUGGCAUUAGAGGAUUUGCAACCAUUGAAGAGUUUCUCCAAGUAUUAAGGGACUGAUUUCACUCCCUUUCGAAUGAAGUCAACACCACUCAUUGCUCAAACAUCUAUUUUAUAACAUGGGUUAUUGAAAUCACUGGACUUUUCAACUUAUUCCAGAAACUUUAUCCCGGAGCCACUGUAUUUCCUAUGAGUUUGUAACAUCUACAGAAUAUUAUUUAAAACCUCCUUUAAAAUGGCGACCCUAAUCAAGACCAGAGUUGUGCUGAGAUGUAUCACGGGUGAUGUUAUUUAGCUUCAACACGAUGUGCUGUAAGAAGCGAAGAUGCCAUUUGGCACAUAUUCAUGUGGAUGCAGGAACAUUUAUCAAUUACUGGAAGAUAUUCAUUUAAAAUAAUAAUAAUAAAAAUCAUUAGAAUUAGAAUUCAUUAGAAGUUUCUGGGUUUUUGUUACAAAGAAUCAGAAAGUAAUAUUUUGAUACUUAGCAAAAUUAAUACUAAAUUUCAUUUUUUGGAUGUCUUGAUCUUUCACAGAAAUAAAAAUGUCUGUUCUGGUUGUUGCAGAGACAAAAAUAGAAAACAUAGGCAGAAAUCUGGAUGGAUUUGCAGGUUUCAUAUCUGCAGCUAUUUUCUGUUCAGAAAAAUAGCAUGUUGGUUGCUGUUGUUGGGUUUUAUUUUUUUUUCCAAUGAACAAAAUAUGACUGUGGAAAUCGCAAAUCAAGUCACUCAUAUGCUGCUACUCUUUGGAGAAAUUUAUAUAGAACUUCCAUCUGUGAUAUCUGAGGAAUUAAUGAUGUUUAGAAAGUAAUAGAAGGAAUCAGUAUAAGUGAAUCAGCUAAGAAAAUUAAGCAAAUAAAAAUUCAUGGUUGAUUCCUCUCCAAAAGUAAUCUUGAUCUUGACUGACUUUUUUUGAUGAUACUUGGCUUCAGUUAUAAUUAUCAUAUUAGUUAUUUAGCCUUACAGCUUGGUAGGAAAUCUUGGGUUCAGGAAGGUUAUCCAUGGACCAUGGGUUGAUUACAUGACUAUCAUCUUAAGCUGUUCUUAAUCUUUCAUAGUUUUCAUUACAAAUCAAAUAGCACAGUCCUUUGGUUGUUCAUCAGAAUCAGUCAUAUAUAUUGUUCUUAUUCUGUUUGGAAUGCACUAUUUUAUGAAGAACUUUGAAAUGUAAGAGUAUUAGGUAGAGUUUAUUCAAGUAGAGUUCUACAACUCACAAGAACUGGAAAUCCUAAGAACACUUCAGACCCUGCUGCCGUAGCAGUAUGGAUGGGUUUAGUAAGAUUAAAAAAAAAAUGUAAUUCUUUGCAUGUAAAUGCUUUGCUUUUACCUUUGAUUGUUUAUCUUCUUGAUGCGUAGUUCAUUUUUCAGUAAUGUAGUGGAGAUGAAAUAAAACCUUGAUGCUCCUUG